GUACGUCCACACUGCAGAAUUAAUACAGUGUGCUUAAGUAAGCACCAGCACUUUUUGGUAAAGAAAGCUAAAAAAUUAUAUAAAAUUCCAACUUCCAUGAUUCUAUAGCAUUGAUGGCAGUUAAAGUGGUGCCAAACUCCAUUAAGUCUACAGUGCGGAUAUACCUAUUGUAGGGACCUAUUCUCUACAGUCACCUACGGACCCCUGCCAAGACCCUACACCUGGAAGGUAAUCAUACUCGGAUGCAAGGGAUUGCUGGUGACAUGAGAUAUACCCUAAGAUCUCUUUCAUUUUUUAUCCUCGUGUAGGCAUAAAUAAAACAGUCCAGAUUGAGACCAGUAUACGCUCUCAGUGAGUUUUUAAUCUUCUCCUGAAAGAUAUAAAGGAGAGGGGGAACUCAAUAAUCACAGAGCUUUUGGUUCAUUCUCCUCAUAGUGGAAGACUUCAGAAUAAAAUCUACCUAAGGGGAAGUUUACCCAUUUCCCCACCAGCUGACUAGUCCUUACUCAGAUCAAGACCAUGCAAAUUUUGAUAAAGAAGGUAAUUAUAAACUGAGCACUAUGUAUUAAAUAAUCAGGUAUUUAGCCCUAAGCUUAAGAGUAAAGGAAGAAAAAGAAGACAGUGUUAAAGAGGGUAAAAGAAAAGGGAAUAUCAACGACACUGCUAACACCAUUCCUGGGUACUGCUGCAAAAUGGCACCUAUAAGAUUACCUCAAAAGACAUGGCCAGAAGCAAAAAAAAAAAACAACAACAACCCUUAUUGCAAAUGGAUAUUUUGUCUUUCUUAUAUCUUUAAAUCAAAAAGAUAUUGCAAGAUUAUUUUAAAGUACUUUUAUAGUAUGUUUGACAAAGAUGUAUUUAUUUAUUUAUUUACAGUAUUUAUAUUCUGCCCUAAACUUUAGACUUAGGAUCGCCCUGAGUCUGAAACAACUUGAAUAACAACAACAACAACAACAACAACAACAACAACAACAACAGCAAUACUUUAUUUAUAUUCUGCCCUAUCUCCCCAAGGGGACUCAGGGUGGAUCACAGUAUGCAUACACAGCAAACAUUCAAUGUCAUUCGGACAGACAGGACAGAACAGACAGAAAGGGUGCAUGUUGUGUCGACGUCCAGCUUUGCUGCCUUGAUGCUUGAAUCCAGCUACAGGGUGGUGCUGUCACUCCAUCCUCUAUAACAGUGGUUCUCAACCUGAGGUCUCCAGAUGUUUUUGGUCUAUAACUUCGAGAAAUCCCAGCCAGUUUACCAGCUGUUAGGAUUUCUAGGAGAUGAAAGCCAAAAACAUCUGGGGACCCCAGGUUGAGAACCACUGCUCUAUUAAAAAAGAGCCGUCAGGAUUUCCUUCUUCCUUUUGGUCACCGGACAUUUUCUAGUCUACCUCCCCUGCUUCUUUUUAGCUGUACCUACUUUCUCUACUUACCGCUCUAAGCUGUUUUGGAACUGCUUAGGUAAACAGUGAGCUGGACCGACAGUCAGGUUCUCACUCCGAUCUGGGUCUUCAAACUGGCAAACUUUCGACUGGUAGAUCUUAUUGCUGCUGGUGAUUUACCAGCUGUGCUAAAACCCGGUUUGGUUGUUUUUGUGAAAGCACACAAUAACAAUCCUAAGUACCUUGACUAUCUCAUCAACCAAAACCAUGUCUACACUUCCUAUUGAAAUACUGGUAAAUUUAUAUUGGUUAAAAUUGUUCUUCAUUUUAAAUAUUGUAUUGUUCUUUUAUUCUUUUGCACUGCAAAUAAGAUAUGUGCAGUGUGCAUAGAAAUUCAUUAAUGUCCAAUUGAUUCAAUAGAUCUCCUAUAGUUGGGAAUAACAAUAGAUUCUGUUUAUGAAUGAGUAAUUUGCUAAAGGAGUAAAAAUAAAUUGGUUCACUGAAGAUAUUCCACCACUGUUAUUCCCCUUCUCCCAGGAGAACAACAUCACUAUUGUCAGGAUCCUGGCUGCAGAGCACCAAUAACCUUACACAGAGGCCAGUCUCUAUCUAAUAUCUUUAUUAAAGAAAUAUAUAAAAUCAAUAGAGAACGAGAAGCGAAACCCAACUCUGUCCAGAUGCAUGACUCCUUAGAAUUUCCCAAGGGAAGCAGACCUAAUCAGCCAUUUGUUUGGCAGCGAUUCUCAGGCUUCUGCGAUUAGCCUCCCUGGCUCCCCUAUCUUUAGAAUAAUUUUCCCUCCUGGAAAACAGGGGGGAGUUCUGCCCAAGGCCUGUUUGGCUGAAUUCUUCUGGACAAACAUCAACAUCCUGCAGGUGAAGAGGCUCCGGCUCUUGCUGAACCGGCGAAAAUCCCAUGUUUUCCUCUUCAUCUGCCACAAUAGUACUAGGAACAGGACUACAAGGCCCAUGAGUCAUCAC
ensembl:lncRNA